rnacentral:rRNA from 1 species
ACGAACGCUGGCGGCGUGCUUAACACAUGCAAGUCGAACGGUGAAGCCUUUCGGGGUGGAUCAGUGGCGAACGGGUGAGUAACACGUGGGCAAUCUGCCCUGCAUUCUGGGACAAGCCUUGGAAACGAGGUCUAAUACCGGAUACGACGCAUCYCCGCAUGGGGUGUGCGUGGAAAGCUCCGGCGAUGCAGGAUGAGCCCGCGGCCUAUCAGCUUGUUGGUGGGGUGAUGGCCUACCAAGGCGACGACGGGUAGCCG